rnacentral:rRNA from 1 species
UACGUAGGGAGCUAGCGUUGUCCGGAAUCAUUGGGCGUAAAGCGCGCGUAGGCGGCCCGGUAAGUCCGCUGUGAAAGUCAAAGGCUCAACCUUUGAAUGUCAGCGGAUACUGCCGGGCUAGAGUCCGGAAGAGGCGAGUGGAACUCCUGGUGUAGCGGUGAAAUGCGCAGAUAUCAGGAAGAAUAUCCGUGGCGAAGGCGGCUCUCUGGUACGGCACUGACGCUGAGACGCGAAAGCGUGGGGAGCGAAAAGG